rnacentral:rRNA from 1 species
GACGAACGCUGGCGGCAUGCCUAAUACAUGCAAGUCGAACGCUGAAGCACUCUGCUUGCAGAGUGCGGAUGAGUGGCGAACGGGUGAGUAACACGUGGGAAAUCUGCCUAGGAGUGGGGGAUAGCCUUCCGAAAGGGAGAUUAAUACCGCAUAAGAUUGUAGUACCGCAUGGUACAGCAAUCAAAGGAGCAAUCCGCUAUGAGAUGGGCCCGCGGCGCAUUAGCUAGUUGGUGAGGUAACGGCUCACCAAGGCGACGAUGCGUAGCCGACCUGAGAGGUGAUCGGCCACGAUUGGGACUGAGGACACGGCCCAGACUCCUA